AAAAUAUAGGAGUUAUGUUUUUGUUGUUCAGCCAAGUGGGGAAGGUAAUUCUCACUAAAUCUGAUAACCUGGAAGGCAUGCAAAAAAACAAAAGAAAAAAAACUCACCAGAUCUCUUUGAUUAUAUAUUAACCCCACCAUAUGAUAGGUUAGGAUAUAAGACUAGGAUAUUAGUGAAAAUGGCAGUGCAAUGACGUCCAAAAAUCUCUUCUCCAUAAAAGUGAUGAGAAAACUGGUAAAAGUUGUUGGAAUCAAAUUUUUCUGAACUCUGGAAAUUAACCAAGGCUUGGAAUAACCUGGAGAGGGUUCAUUCAAGAAUAAAUGGCUGAAUUUCAGGAAGGCCAGUGAGCUUAGGGCAUUUUAAUAGUCUCAUUCCCUGCUCUCCAGGUGCACAGUAAUCUUGUAAAAUAGAACUCUGCAUUCCUAUUGCAGCCUGGCAGAACCCCCAGAGGUAACAGAAUGAAGUUGGAGAUCUUACAAAGCUCCACUUCCAAAUAAUUGCCCUUUAAAAAGAAACCUAUUUCAUGGUUUCCUGGAAUGUUCCCAC
rnacentral:lncRNA from 1 species